AACGCUGGCGGCAGGCUUAACACAUGCAAGUCGAGCGGGCGUAGCAAUACGUCAGCGGCAGACGGGUGAGUAACGCGUGGGAACGUACCUUUUGGUUCGGAACAACACAGGGAAACUUGUGCUAAUACCGGAUAAGCCCUUACGGGGAAAGAUUUAUCGCCGAAAGAUCGGCCCGCGUCUGAUUAGCUAGUUGGUAGGGUAAUGGCCUACCAAGGCGACGAUCAGUAGCUGGUCUGAGAGGAUGAUCAGCCACAUUGGGACUGAGACACGGCCCAAACUCCUACGGGAGGCAGCAGUGGGGAAUAUUGGACAAUGGGGGCAACCCUGAUCCAGCCAUGCCGCGUGAGUGAUGAAGGCCCUAGGGUUGUAAAGCUCUUUUGUGCGGGAAGAUAAUGACGGUACCGCAAGAAUAAGCCCCGGCUAACUUCGUGCCAGCAGCCGCGGUAAUACGAAGGGGGCUAGCGUUGCUCGGAAUCACUGGGCGUAAAGGGUGCGUAGGCGGGU
rnacentral:rRNA from 1 species